GUGAAGCAUCUGGAAACUAAGAAGCUGGCCACACCCUGGUGAACAGGACAAUAGAGAACAAAGCUGACUGGUUACAGCAUAAAGGUGAUUAACCAAUAGACUAAAAAUUUUCUCUUCAGCUAACUAGAUUAAAGAACUGCUCAAAAAAAAUAAAGAUAUGGCUUUCUUUAUUAACAGACAUCUUGAAUAAAAUUGUUACUAAAGCAGAUUUAGUGGCUUUGGGCCCACAACAACUAAACAAAAAUACCUCACCUCUACACAGACACCUGUACCUUGGCAGAGUGUUUUCCUGACAGGACUGGGCAAGCUCAAACUGACAGAGCUGAAACCUUCCCCAAGAAGAAUGAGAUGAGUCACCAGGCCUGAGGCUCACUGGCCUGUGACUGCUGGGAACUCGGGCUCCUGUCCUCUACUCUUGUUGGAUAUCAUUCCACAGUCCAGUAAUGGCUUCUCCAGAAUCCAGUUCUUACUGAGACAUACGUGAAGGUUGCUAUUGAUCGUGGUUUCUUAUCACAACAGUAGAAACCAAAUGAAGUCACAACCCUUUGGUUUCCAGGCCUCCCAGGGCUACCAUCUCCUGCUGCUGUCCUGCCUGAGUGGAGAAACAUUUCCUGUCUCCGGUUGGGGUUAAGGUCUGUGCUGUGCAUC
rnacentral:lncRNA from 1 species